GCUACCUAAGCCAAAAGUCUAGUCGAUCUGGUCAUUAGUUAGAAUAGUAACUUGCAUCAUGUUUAAGAAAUAAUCUGUGAAACAUAAGCGCGAGACAAUGGCGAUUCAUAAUUCUAUCAAAUGUACUGCGAAUAAAAAAUUCGCAUAAAAAUAAGCCCAAUUGCACGUGAUACUGGCAAAAUAAUUGGGAUAGCAUAAUGCUCAAUGCAAAUGGUCCUUCCUUCUUUCUUUCUGCUUGUGCGUGCUACCUACAGCUAACCAGUCCACUCUGAGAAAGUGAGCUGGUUAAAUUUCACAAAUUACAAUAUUUUAUAGCAGUUUACUCAUUGGAUAAAAAAAUAUACCAGGGUCCAUGCUCUAAGGCUCGAGUACUUGAGUUGUGUAGCACUCGUUAAUCUGUGCAGCGAGGAGACGAAGAUCUACCAUAUGUGUACCAUGCAUAUGUAAUCAAUUUGCACACGCUCUACGACAAUAUUUGCUAUGUUUGUGCAUACCAAUGGAAGUCAGCGGAAGGAUUUUCUAUUUUUAUUGAACGUCUGACGCUUACAUACUGAAGAGUGCACAGUUUCGAGUGAGGGCGUUGUGCUGCUAAUGUAACAAAAACAAGAUGACCACGUGCCACACCCACCGAUCACUGCUGUACAGGAUAAUUGCAAAAACACAGACGAUUGCAAAACGCUAAGUAUCACGAUGCCUAUAGGGAGCGACUUUAAGCAUAACAAUAAAAAUCAAUACAACUUAAUGGCAGCCACGUCAAGCUGCAAUAUCUGAGUUUUGGGACAAUGAAUGUGACAAAAGAUGUCCCGACUUGGCCAAAAAAUUACGACGGAGGAACGAGGUGAUGCUUCUAGAUGCGCUGAACAUCUGGAGUGCGGUGCUGGCUCCCCAACAAGCUCUGCUGUCCUCAUUGCAGUUUCUUAUUGAGCAGCUGCUCAAUAAGAUACCUGCAAUGAUACCAUGAGAUACCAUCACUCCACUGAGAUGAAGUACGUGCGCGGUUUUGCCCUUAACGUUGCUUAUACAAAUUGCAGUUGUGUUGUAUUGUGCGAAUUCUAAUUAUCCAUGAUGUUUAAAUACUGUAGGAAUGAAUGGUGCUCCUGAUCGACGAUUUCAACGAAUUGUUACAGUGUACCACUGUCCAAACGUCUAGUAGACCUUUAAUACCUAGAAAUAUCUAAUUCUGCAACUUGGUGCAGGUUACGGAACCCAGUCUAUAGUGGAUGGAGCCGAUGGUGCCCGACGGGUCAAGGUAUUUAGGUACUGCGGCUAAGUGGCAUCUUUGGAACGCUUGGGAUUUCUGUGUGCUUAGCUGUCUGCGACGAUGCGGUCCUUUUCGAACUGAAUUCAAAAGUCAACUCGACAAAUCUAAUUAGGAAAACAGACAACGAUGGACGAACGGGAAACUGAAUGCAAAUUACCAAUAAUAAACAGACAUCGCUUUGCCUUUAUUACCUAUACGCAUACGAAGGUGGCGCCUGUAACUGACCUAUAGAGGAAAAUGUUUGGCCUGUAGAAGUACUAGAGCAGAACAUCUGUCUCACGCUCAGCGUGACUCUUACGGAGAGAGAAUUUCGAGAGACUAAGGCAAUACGAACAUGAUCCUUUUUUUUUUUUUUUUUUUAUACUACAUAUAGAAGAAUACUAGAAGUUUUACACUACAUAAUUCUUGCGGUGUGGAAUUAUCUAUCGAAACAUCUCACAAAUAUAAGCAUAACAAAGAUGCCAAUUAAAAGAUCACUAAUGUUGUAAAACGGAGGAAGAUCUAAACGGCAAGUUUAUUGGGUUAUUAGAUUUUUUCUAAAGUUUUAUAUGAGUUUUAUUAUGUAACACAAGUUAUGUAACACAGAACUUUGUCAAUUCAUAGAAAAUUUAACAAGUCACGGAAAAUGACAGGCCACCCAACAAUAGACGAAGCCGGUGAGUAAUAGAAGGUAUACAAAAGCCAAUGCCGAACGAAUAAAGUUUCCCACGCAGAAUUUCACAAAUAGACUAUUUAGUUUUUUAAAUAACUUUGCGAGUUCCGUGCAAAAUCCUAUAAGAUGCUGCCGGACAAUUUUGAAGCCAGUGGGGUGUUGUGCAUUGUAAUUCGUGCUCAGUUUUGUAACACUAUGGAUCCAUCCGAGAUAAGCCUUGUCAGACUUCAUGUAUAAUUUCAUGUGCUUGCUCUAUUAUGAGUAUCGUUUCUAUUGUAUCAAUAAGACAAACAUCUAAUCCCCACAAAUAAACAAUGCCGACAGAUCCACUAAAAGCAAAAAUCGUUUGUUUAUAAGGAAACGAUUUGUGUCAUUUGCAAAUUUUUACCACCCCAAAUCCAAGAAUGUAUCGUUAAUUGCAUGGCAUUGCAUUUUCGAAGACAUGCAAGCUCCAGUAACAUAGCUCCCAAGGCUCCUCAAAAUCAAAUCUGUGAUUUGACCAGCAAAAUCAUAUGCUAAAGUUACCGUAGCCUUCCGAACAUGAAGUACAAGUUCUGCUGGGUCGCAGGUGUUCCCAGAAGAUUUAUACCCAACGAUCAGCUGGAGCGACUCCAUGAGAGAACCCUUAUUAGCAUCGUACUCUCGUUCUCAUGCCUAAGGACUACUAGCUUUGUCCAACUUCUUCUUCAUUUGCAGGCGCUUUAAAUAUACGAGUGUUUUCCUCAUCCGAUUCGAUACAAGGACGUUACAAAGCCUUGUCUGAAAUCAGAUUGGCUGACGAUUCCCCAGGUGGUUGAAUUUGAUUUGCUUCUGUAUACCCGAACGACAUUUUGUUCGAAAACAAGACAACAUAGAGUUCAUUGGAUAAUGGAGAAUCUCCAGCGGCGGCGCGUUUCCCCGUAUGGGUAUAACAGUGACGACCAAGUGUAAAACCAGAGACAUUCCGGAAUAUAUAAAGACGAUCAAGAAUCAAUGAAGAAUCGCGGCGGUAAAGGCCUCUACUUAGGAGAAGCUCCUAAUCGACCACAACGACAUCAACAAAAGCAAAAUCAACAAACAGGACAAUGUACGUCGUGCAGAGGAGUUAAAUGGUAGUUCCAGGUGUACGUCUACGGGCUGCAUGCACCUGCCUAAGAAUAUUUAUCAGUAACUAUUUGUUAUACUCACAUGCAUAUUAACGUCUCGCGUUGUCAUAUCUACGAUUUUCUACAGUUACGUUUUUCAGUUUAACUGAUAUAUGUUAUAUAACGAUAUUCAAAUAUCGAACUGAAACAUUGGAUAUUAACAACUUGCCAAAUUAGGAUAUUGACUAGAAAAAUAAUUGCUAUCCACACUGUCGUCCACACUGGUACUAUA